UACCAGCACCCCGAGUGGUCGGGACGUUUAUUGGGCCUAAAGCAUCCGUAGCCGGUUCUACAAGUCUUCCGUUAAAUCCACCUGCUUAACAGAUGGGCUGCGGAAGAUACUAUAGAGCUAGGAGGCGGGAGAGGCAAGCGGUACUCGAUGGGUAGGGAUAAAAUCCGUUGAUCCAUUGAAGACCACCAGUGGCGAAGGCGGCUUGCCAGAACGCGCUCGACGGUGAGGGAUGAAAGCUGGGGGAGCAAACCGG
rnacentral:rRNA from 1 species